rnacentral:rRNA from 1 species
CACGUAGGGCGCAAGCGUUGUCCGGAAUUAUUGGGCGUAAAGAGCUCGUAGGCGGUCUGUUACGUCUGCUGUGAAAACCCGGGGCUUAACCCUGGGCUUGCAGUGGAUACGGGCAGACUAGAGGCAGGUAGGGGAGAAUGGAAUUCCCGGUGUAGCGGUGAAAUGCGCAGAUAUCAGGAGGAACACCGGUGGCGAAGGCGGGUCUCUGGGCCGAUACUGACGCUGAGGAGCGAAAGCGUGGGGAGCGAACAGG